UUGAAGGUUGCCAUUGACUUUUCAUAGUAUAUAUAUGUUUUUCCUACCAUGGAAGUCAAUGGCAACUUUCAACUGUCUGUUAACCAACAUUAUUUAAAAUAUCUUUUGUGUUCAACAGAAGAAAGAAACUCGUACAGGUUUGGGACAAUUUGAGGGCGAGUACAUUAUGUCAACAUCUUCUUUUUGGGUGAACUAUCCCUUUAAUAUUGAUGUAAGUGUUGCUUUAUUUUUCUAUGGUUUAAUGUUGAGUGUGACUGCAAAUGGCUGUUAUGCACCAGGAACAAAGUAAGAUGUCAUUUCUCUUAUGGCUAUCGUAUUUCACAUGCAAUCUACUUGAAUAUUAAGAUGGAUGAAAUGUUUCAUAAGGUUUAGUCAUUCCCCUUAUGGCUACUUUACAUUUUUUAAUUUUGCAAUCUACUUGAAUAUUAAAAUGGAUGAAAUGUUUCAAAGGUUGAUUUUAGACUUUGUCUAAUGUUUAAUUGACAAAUAAAUGUUCAAUUAAAAAUG